rnacentral:misc_RNA from 1 species
ACUAUAGGAGACUUAAUGACUUGAUAGUUAAAGAUAUGUUUCCAAUCCCUAUUAUUGAUGACUUGCUAGAUGAAAUAAAUGAGAUUGUUAUCUUUUCUAAGAUAGAUUUAAGGGUGAGUUACCAUCAAAUAAGGACGAAGGUUGAAGAUAUCCCUAAGACUGCCUUUAGGACACACCAAGGGAAUUUUGAAUUCAAAGGGAUGUCCUUUGGGCUCACCAAUGCUCCUGCUACCUUCCAAGCCUAAUGAGUCACAUUUUCCAACCUCUUUUUAGGAAAUUUUUUUUUAUUUUCUUUGAUGAUAUAUCGGUUUAUAGAAACGACAGUCAUUUGGAGCACUUGGAACAACUAUUGAUGGAAAUCAACAAGAACA